rnacentral:rRNA from 1 species
AGCGAACGCUGGCGGCAGGCUUAACACAUGCAAGUCGAACGCCCCGCAAGGGGAGUGGCAGACGGGUGAGUAACACGUGGGAACGUACCCUUUGGUUCGGAAUAACUUGGGGAAACUCAAGCUAAUACCGGAUAAGCCCUUAUGGGGAAAGGUUUACUGCCGAAGGAUCGGCCCGCGUCUGAUUAGCUAGUUGGUGAGGUAAUGGCUCACCAAGGCGACGAUCAGUAGCUGGUCUGAGAGGAUGAUCAGCCACACUGGGACUGAGACACGGCCCAGACUCCUACGGGAGGCAGCAGUGGGGAAUAUUGGACAAUGGGGGCAACCUUGAUCCAGCCAUGCCGCGUGAGUGAUGAAGGCCUUAGGGUUGUAAAGCUCUUUCACACGCGACGAUGAUGACGGUAGCGUGAGAAGAAGCCCCGGCUAACUCCGUGCCAGCCGCCGCCGUAA